CUCAAAUUGGUCUCCGCGCGGCAAUUGUUGCUAGAGAUGAAGGGAGAUGGGCAAGACCAUAGCACAGACAACGAAGUGAUUCCAUUCUUGGUCUGUGACCAUAGCAUGAAGUAUACUUCAUAGGUGUUUGUAUAAUCAAUCAAUGCUGGCUGUUCUACACUUGGGGAAUAAUGGUUUGGUGAUUGGAUACAACACCACUUCAAUCCAUAGUGGCAAUUUUCAUUUCCGUGCAAGUGCCCUUCUAACUUUUGACAUAGCAAGGUGAAGAGAAAACUGGGGUUUGCAUGGAUUAAUCCUUGGAAGAAUUCCUCAUCACAGCGAAGUUAACAAAAUCAAAAUCAUUGUACAAUUGGCAUUGUGACAAACAAUGGAGAGAACGAAGCAAUCAAAGAACAGCGUUGUCAUUUUUUGAUUCGCCGCUGGAGAUUCAGAAGCAGAACGCCAUGUCACGAUGUCAGCGUCGAUGAAGGGUAAAUUACCUCAUAUGUAGAAGUCGUGUUUUCUUCAGUUCUAACUUCUAAGGCCAAAAAUGCUAAUUGCUACAAUAAUCAGAAACCCAUUUAAAUAGAUUUGGCAACAAGAUGUUGUUGACUUGUCAUGUCACUAAGGUAAGAAAGAACGGUAAUGCAUUUCGUCGUAUAAAAUCAUUCCUAAAAUUUUCCUAAACAAUGCACACCAAUACCGUCUGACGAUAUACCAUGAGAAUUUUGGUUUGAAUUGAGAACCGUUGUGCUGUUUUUUUUUACACUGAAACUUGCAAAAAGAAAUCUUGAUGAAGUGAUAGAGAACCUACUCCAAAAGCUGUUGCCUUUUUUAUUAUCUUGGCAAGACUCUUGGAAGUCUUUCUGUCGGCUCAUGUUGGAUCAUUGCAAGCUCUUUAUCUGCAUUCACUAUCACCCAUACAGAUUCAGUGGUUUUACAUUUAAAAAGUCAAAGGAAUGGAGCAAGUGAUGAUGGGUACGACAAAUUAAACCUCAGCAUUUCUUCAUUGGCAAAGUUUAUUAUGUACUUGUAUUAUGUAUUAUUUUCAAUGUUAAUAAUCAAUUGUAAAAUUAGCAUUCUCAUUGACGGUGGAAAAAAGCUGAAUUUCCUUUUAUGGGUGCUGAAAAUCUUUUUGAACAUUUUCAACUACUUUUCCAAUAACCCAAGCAAAUGCAGAAGUUUUUUCACAUUGAUAAAUAAUUAUAGUAAAAUGGGAGAGAAUUCUGGUUGAGGCCAGAUACCUGUAAAACCGUAACUGUUGCAAGCACAUGGGAAUAUCUCCACAUUGAUUUUCAUAUGUUGUGAUCUCAUGAUCAAAUUUUGCCAACUAACUACCAAAAAUUGUAUGUAACUAUAUUUGCCCAUGUCAGAAAAUUGCAGAAGGAAAGAGAUAUUGGAAGAAAGCAACUUGCACAUUACCGUUGGUUGCUGCUCCGUCCCGAAGAUAAAAUAUUAAAAUUUUUAUAAAUUGAA